UGCAGAAUCCCAAGAAGCAUCCGUUCUUCAUCCCAAAAUACCAACCAGGUUCAUCCCAUUCGACUCCAGUGCCCUCCAGCCGUUCUUUGAAGCCCAUGAGACGUCCCUGUUUCAAGGAAAUAUCAGCCGGUUGCCAUGGGAUUUUGAACGCUGCUGUUAUUCAUCCAAGAAGAGGCCAUCCCGAUCCAUUUCAACAUCGUAUUCUCCAUCACGAGUCUUCCCAGCUUCCACGGUUCCUUGGAACGAUUAAUUUCCAUCACUUUGGCUUGAAUGUAUCAGCCGGUUACGGGGCCAUUUAUUUCUUCUUUAUCAUGUACUGGUUGCUCUGCCUAUAAAAGGGGUUUAUCUUGUUAUGUUGGAAAUGAAAUGAAAAGAAGAGAAGCUGUUUGAUGUAUUGCCUGAAAGAAGUUUGGUGUCCAAUCCCAAGAUCCCACCCUCCUUCCUUCUUUAAAAUCCUUCUCUUCUAAGUGACGCGGCGUCCCCCCUGACUUCCACAACUUCUUCUAGCGUAGGCGGCGCUCAUCAUCCGGCUUCCCGUUCUCUCUUCCGGACUCCUUCCCGAUCCGGCGAAUCUUCGUCCGGAUUAUUUAUCCUUUGAUUAGACUAUUGUGUUUUGUUUUUCCAAACAUCCUGCUACCUCAAUUAACCCAGGACUUCUGUUCCAGAUCUUGUCGGUUUCCUCCAUCCGUCUCAACGAAGGGCGACCCGUCAGCGAAUCAGGACCCUGGACUUGCCUCCCUCUUCCAGGAUUUUUUUCUCGAGCAUCGUGUCCGUGUGAUCCUUCUACUACAAUUCUGAGUAAGUCGUUAUUGGAUUCAGUUAAGUUCCCAAAUUUUUAUACUUAACAGCAGGAAACUUAAAGUAGAACAACGUGCCCUAAUUAUGUGUUGAUUUCCUAAUCAUCAACGAUCCUUCUUUAAAAUUUGUUAAAGGAACUGAUCAAUUGUCGGUAGUUUCUUACAGUAAAUUCGAUUUUUAAUAUAAUCAUCUGAUAGCUGUUAGAUUUGAGUUGGCUAAUAGUUUAUGAAUUGGGUUGCUGAAAUCUAAUUAUAUAUAUAUAAAAAAAAGAAUUAGUUUGCAUGCAUUGAUC
rnacentral:lncRNA from 1 species